rnacentral:rRNA from 1 species
UUGACCUCGAAUCAGGUAGGGAUACCCGCUGAACUUAACC